GACGAACGCUGGCGGCGUGCUUAACACAUGCAAGUCGAACGGAAAGGCCCUGCUUUUGUGGGGUGCUCGAGUGGCGAACGGGUGAGUAACACGUGAGUAACCUGCCCUUGACUUUGGGAUAACUUCAGGAAACUGGGGCUAAUACCGGAUAGGAGCUCCUGCUGCAUGGUGGGGGUUGGAAAGUUUCGGCGGUUGGGGAUGGACUCGCGGCUUAUCAGCUUGUUGGUGGGGUAGUGGCUUACCAAGGCUUUGACGGGUAGCCGGCCUGAGAGGGGGACCGGCCACAUGGGGACUGAGAUACGGCCCAGACUCCUACGGGAGGCAGCAGUGGGGAAUAUUGCACAAUGGGCGGAAGCCUGAUGCAGAAACGCCGCGUGCGGGAUGACGGCCUUCGGGUUGUAAACCGCUUUCGCCUGUGACGAAGCGUGAGUGACGGUAAUGGGUAAAGAAGCACCGGCUAACUACGUG
rnacentral:rRNA from 1 species